AGCCUUUAGGGUUUAGGGACCACCUAUGAAAGAGAAAUUCAAUAUGGGACCUUGGUAGGAGCAAGCAAGACAUUGUUGAGAUUCUCCAAAUUCCGAAAGUUCCUGCCUUUUUUCCUUCUUCCUGGGUGGAACAUGAGGAGAGCCCUUCCUAUAGGGAUAGAUUGUAACUCAAUGAAACGGGCACCGUGGCGUGAUGUGGCUUUGGUACAUCAGUUCAUCACACAAACCUUUAAUUUCAGUGAGGACGAGAUUGUAGUCAAUAAGGAUGAUGACGCUGACAACCUGCCAACCAAACAAACUAUCAUGCAGGCUCUGCACAACCUUACACAUGAUAUCAAAGCGGGAGACACGCUACUAUUCUAUUUUUCAGGCCACAACACUACUGGUCUGUACGACCCAUCUUUAUUUAUAAACGACUUAGAUUCCAUCCAAGAGACUCAUGGUGGCCAAGUUAUAAACUUGGAGCUUGCUCAAAAGGCUAUGGAGAAUCUUGGAGAAAUACCUAGUCUCUGUUGCAGUCACAACAGCCAUGCUUAUGCUUCUUUUCUGGGCUCAUCCAUUUUGGACUAUAGUUUGGUUCAUGUUUCUUUAUGCUUAGUUUGGUUUGCAUCCAACUAACUAUGAGAUUUGGAUUUGGAUUGUUGUUUUCUGCUAUUUAAGUUUUAUAUUUGAAUUUUGUACGCACGUUCUAUUAGCUACCUAUUGCAAAGUAUGAAUCAUCUCUGAAGAUUAGCUUUCUUAUAUGUCUCAUUGGCGGAA